rnacentral:tRNA from 3 species
GGAGAGAUGCCGGAGUGGUCGAACGGGACGGAUUCGAAAUCCGUUGAACAGGCAACUGUUCCCAGGGUUCGAAUCCCUGUCUCUCCGCCA